AUUGAACGCUGGCGGCAGGCCUAACGCAUGCAAGUCGAGCGGGGUUUUCGGACCUAGCGGCGGACGGGUGAGUAAUGCGUAGGAAGCUACCCGAUAGAGGGGGAUACCAGUUGGAAACGACUGUUAAUACCGCAUAAUGUCUACGGACCAAAGUGUGGGACCUUCGGGCCACAUGCUAUCGGAUGCGCCUACGUGGGAUUAGCUAGUUGGUGGGGUAAUGGCUCACCAAGGCGACGAUCCCUAGCUGGUUUGAGAGGAUGAUCAGCCACACUGGAACUGAGACACGGUCCAGACUCCUACGGGAGGCAGCAGUGGGGAAUAUUGGACAAUGGGCGCAAGCCUGAUCCAGCCAUGCCGCGUGUGUGAAGAAGGCCUUCGGGUUGUAAAGGACUUUUGUCCGGGAGCAAAUACCCAGUGCUAAUAACGCUGGGGGCUGAGAGUACCGGAAGAAUAAGCACCGGCUAACUACGUGCCAGCAGCCGCAGUAAGAC
rnacentral:rRNA from 1 species